AAUUCCACCUUAUGGCGCCGAAUAAGGGCGCAAAUAUGACGCAUCGUGAUUUUAAUUUAAAAUUAUCUGUAGCAAACAGGAAAUGACGUCAAACUGAACAGAAGAACAAUCUUUAACUGGUGAUGGAUAUAUUUAAGUUUCACAAUUAAGCAAAGGAAGAUUCAGCUGCAUAUCGCAGUAUUAGUAUUGAGAAUGUUGAAGUGAUGUAUUUAGUUUGAUUUCUCUGGGCACUUCAGGCGCAAUUUACAAUAUUCCGAAGUGUUUUCCCUUCAUAGCAGAACUUUCAUGUGGGGAAUUACACUAAAAAAGCGACUUCACUUGGAUGCCAAUUGAAAACUCAGCCAGUGGUCGCCUUUUUUAUUGUACGGCCUCUAGUGCACUUAAAGUCACGCAAUGUCUGAUCGUGUCACGCUCUCAUUACCUACAACCAAUGUUCAAACACGCGCCUUCCGAAGUCAUUCCUUCAAUCCCCCUCCAACUAUUGCAUCUCAUCGCUCCAGACGAACUCUCAGUCUUCCGGCCCGAGAGAAACCGAUAAUUCCACCAGCUAUUGCGGAAACUUCCGAAUGUUUUCGAAUAGUUCACGACCAAUUUUCCAGCGAGCAGCAACCUUGUUUGAGUGGAAAUUGUGACGAAAUUGGUUGGUUUUCUCCUAUCGUUGGAUUUUUAUUGAGUCUUCUGCUGUUUGUAUGGGCAUGCCUGCUCUCUCUGACUGUGAACAAACAAGAUGUACUAUUGUAAGAACGCAAAACUGGCAUAAUUUGAUUUCACCUAACACCGUCAGCUCAUGAAUAUUGCAUUUCGCUAAUACUUGCAUUUCUAUGUAACGGAUAUUUUACAUAGAGCAUAGCGCGGGGAAGGGUGUGGGUGUGGGGUACUCCCUUAUCUGUUUAGCCGUUUUGGUCUCAAAUAGGGUAUGCUUUUCUUGCACUUUAGUCUUGAAUUGGGUAUGUUUUUUGGAAGAAGAUACUUUUUUCAGUAACAGGCAGGUCUGAAACAAGGUACUGAUUUAAGGGUCAGGUCUCAAAUAGGGUAUCGAAAUUAAUAGGGUAUCGAAUCAGUUUUGGUCAGGUCAUAAAUAGGGUAGGGAAAAUCACAAAUUUUGGUCUUAAAGGGAAGCGGGCCGUACACCCCUCCCCCAUUUUUUUUUCUGGGAGAACCCCCCUCUGGGCCCAAUAUGCGCUGGGAUGUGCUGCUGUUUCGUUUCUGAGCGAAAUGCACUGACCCCUCGUUGUCUGUUUCUUUAAACCUUUCUGUUUCCCAAACAAUUCAUCAAUUGAAUAUCUUCCGCUCUAUUUGACUGUUUGAGGAAAAUAACACCAAUACAAAUAAUAAUCAGUUGGACGUUCAACUUCAACAAGAAAAAUAUAGCAUAACUGUACCUUACUUCAAAGACAAAGUGAUGUAAGAGGCGGAAAAUUGUAUUAUUAUAUAAACCGACUCACGCUCCGUCCACACUGCGCCGGAGGAAUUUGAAAUCGGAGGUUUCACUCUGAAAACGCAUCAAAGG